CCUACGGGAGGCUGCAGUGGGGAAUAUUGCACAAUGGGGGAGACCCUGAUGCAGCAACGCCGCGUGAGUGAAGAGGUAUUUAGGGAUGUAAAACUCUAUCAGCAGGGAAGAAAAUGAAGGUACCUGAUUAAGAAGCCCCGGCUAACUACGUGCCGGCAGCCGCGGUAAUACGUAGGGGGCAAGCGUUAUCCGGAUGUACUGGGUGUAAAGGGAGCGCAGAAGGCAGUGCAAGUCUGGAGUGAAAGCCCGGUGCUCAACCCCGGAACUGCUCUUGAUACUGGGCGGCUAGAGUACUGGAGGGGCAGGCGGAAUUCCUAGUGUAGCGGUGAAAUGCGUAGAUAUUAGGAGGAACACCAGUGGCGAAGGCGGCCUGCUGGACAGGAACUGACGGUGAGGUUCGAAAGCGUGGGGAGCAAACAGGAUUAGAUACCCGAGUAGUC
rnacentral:rRNA from 1 species